GUCUCAGAAUGGAGAGAAGUUGAAAUAUGGCAGAGUUCCAGAGGAUGUCAAACCAUCAGCUGGCCAAGCUCUUUACAGAUUCAAGGUGGAAACUGCACCAGGAGUGGUUGAGUAUCUUCUUUCAUCACAAGUCUUCUCAUUUAAAAGCGUAUCAAUGGGAAAUGAGGCUUCCUUAGCAACUCUGGCUGAUGAUAGUCGAUCUGUAGUUGAUAAGCAGGCUAUUGUCAAGAUGCCAGAAAGUUCUGGAAGGACCAAAACAAAAUCUCAUCAGGUUGGUAAAGAGCUCCUGUAUGGCCGAGUGUCAGCUGAAGAACUUGUGCAGGCUGUUCAUGAGAUGCUUUCUGCAGCAGGGAUCAACAUGGAUGACGAGAAGCAGUCUCUUCUGCAAAGAACGAUAACUCUGCAGGAACGGUUGAAAGAGUCUCAGGCAGCACUUUUACUUGAACAGGAAAAGUCUGAUGUGGCAGCAAAAGAAGCUGAUACAGCGAAAGCAGCAUGGGUUUGUCGAGUCUGUUUGAGUAAUGAAGUUGACAUGACGAUUGUUCCUUGUGG
rnacentral:misc_RNA from 1 species